ensembl:lncRNA
UUUUUUUUAUUUUUUUUGCUCAUUGACAGAUACAUCUCUUGGUUGGUUUUUUGUUGUUGUUGUUGUUGUUUUGUCUUUUUAGGCUGCACCUGCGGCAUAUGGAGGUUCCCAGAAAUGGUAAAAAGACAAAGAAAAAAAAGUAUUUGGAAUAUCCCUUCCAGCAUGGGACAUCUGGGUGCCUUGGCAAAUAUGGAUGAAUGAAUGAAAAUCUACUUAGCCCUAGAUAUGAAUUGUACAGCCUCUUCAGACACUAAAUCAUGGAUUUGCUUUUCAUCUGACUCCUUGUAAAUCCACUUAGGAAUGGUCUUGGGGGGUUAAGGGUGGGGUGAGGCUGGAAUAAGGAUCUGGUCUCUCUGAUGGAUCCUGUGUCCUGAAGCUUUGAGUCGGCAUUUCUUCUAAGUUUGGGCUGAGAUCUCACUUGCUUGUUUUAUGCCGUGAAAUAAAUCAUGUAACAUCAACCCUACUUCAAAAGGGGGGUUGCAUGUUUGUAUGGAACGUGAGGGUACUUUGUCCCAUGAGUAUGUUGAAAGCAUCAUCAGGACAGCAACUGGUUCCAUUCCAACACUGACCAGGUGAAUAAUUUAGCGUGAAUGUUUUCCUAAGCACUGGGAGAUACUUCGUUUUUCUCUUUAGGGCUGCACCUGCAGCAUAUGGAAGUUCCCAGGCUAGGGGAUGAAUCAAAGCUGCAGCUAUCAUCCUAUACCACAGCCACAGCAACUCAGGAUCCUAGCUGCAUCUUCGAUGUAACUGCGAUGUAUUUUGUGGCAAUAGCGGAUCCUUAACCCACUGAGCUAGACCAGGGAUCAAGCCCGCAUCCUCAUGAAUACUAGUUGGGUUCAUUUCCAGUGAGUCACAAUGGGAACUCCGGGAGACACUUUUUAUAAGGCGGCAAUAAAGGCUUUGUAAUUGCUGCUGACUGACUUAGUUUAGGGUUGUUUCCAGCCUUUGCCACAUCAUUAAACAAUACUACCCAACCAAAAUUCUACUAUCAAGUUGGCUGUACUAACUAUAAUGUUGUAGGAUUGGAUCCUGGAGCAGCAAAAGGGACACUGGUGAAGAAACUAGUGAAAAUUCCAAGAAUAUCUACAGCUUAGCUAAAAAUAACAUAUUUAUGUUGAUGUCUUAGUGUGGACAGGUGUACCAUAGUCAUGGAAGAUGUUAACAUGAGGGGAAAGUGGGUGAGAACUCUGUGUGCUAUCUUUGCCACUUCUCUAUAAAUAUAAAAUUAUUUCUCAAUUAAAAUUGUAUUUCAAAAAAAAAGUGCACUUUUAACACAGACAAGAUGAGAAAUGUUGAUUCAGGUUGUAUCCUCUCUCCACAGCCCCUCAGUCAGAUCCCCCGUUCUUUGUUGUUGUUGUUUUUUUAACCUUUUCUAGACUAUUUAUUUAUGUAUGUAUUUAUUGAAGUAUAGUUAAUUUACAAGGCUAUGACUUUCUGCUGUACAACAAAGCAACCCGGUCAUAUAUGUACCCACAUCCAUUCUUUUUCAGAUUCUUUUCCCACACAGAUUAUCACAGAAUAUUGGGUAGAGCUCUCUGUGCUACACAGCAGGUCCCUGUUAGCCAAUCAUUCCAUAUACCUCCGUGGGUAUAUGCCAAUCCCAAACCCCCAGCAUCCCCCAUUCGUAAUACUAAAGGCAGCCUAUGUUUACCCUGGACUCCCAAACGUAAUGGAGGUAUCGUUGGCAAGCAGGGAGUCUGGGGUCAGGUAGACAGAGUAUGUUCGCAGCACUUGAAGACAAAAUGUGCCUUCAAAAGCAAACUGUAAUUACACAGAAGCCAAGGAGCAUUUGCAGAAAAUCACUAUCUCAUCCAAAUCUACAUCCUGUUAAUCAAAGAGGUCGAAGCGCUUUGAUUAUCAGACUAAAUAUUUUUAGGCAAUAUCACUGAAUGCCUGGAAAGACCGUGAACGGCAUCUGCUGC